rnacentral:piRNA from 1 species
UGCUAUUAGACCUCCCAGGGCCCAUUGGU